rnacentral:rRNA from 1 species
GUGGGGUGAUGGCCUACCAAGGCGACGACGGGUAGCCGGCCUGAGAGGGCGACCGGCCACACUGGGACUGAGACACGGCCCAGACUCCUACGGGAGGCAGCAGUGGGGAAUAUUGCACAAUGGGCGGAAGCCUGAUGCAGCGACGCCGCGUGAGGGAUGACGGCCUUCGGGUUGUAAACCUCUUUCAGCAGGGACGAAGCGUAAGUGACGGUACCUGCAGAAGAAGCACCGGCCAACUACGUGCCAGCAGCCGCGGUAAGACGUAGGGUGCGAGCGUUGUCCGGAUUUAUUGGGCGUAAAGAGCUCGUAGGCGGCUUGUCGCGUCGACCGUGAAAACUUGGGGCUCAACCCCAAGCCUGCGGUCGAUACGGGCAGGCUAGAGUUCGGUAGGGGAGACUGGAAUUCCUGGUGUAGCGGUGAAAUGCGCAGAUAUCAGGAGGAACACCGGUGGCGAAGGCGGGUCUCUGGGCCGAUACUGACGCUGAGGAGCGAAAGCGUGGGGAGCGAACAGGAUUAGAUACCCUGGUAGUCCACGCUGUAAACGUUGGGCGCUAGGUGUGGGGGGCCUCUCCGGUUUCCUGUGCCGCAGCUAACGCAUUAAGCGCCCCGCCUGGGGAGUACGG